rnacentral:rRNA from 1 species
UGAUUCAGCGGCGGACGGGUGAGUAAUGCCUAGGAAUCUGCCUGGUAGUGGGGGACAACGUUUCGAAAGGAACGCUAAUACCGCAUACGUCCUACGGGAGAAAGCAGGGGACCUUCGGGCCUUGCGCUAUCAGAUGAGCCUAGGUCGGAUUAGCUUGUUGGUGAGGUAAUGGCUCACCAAGGCGACGAUCCGUAACUGGUCUGAGAGGAUGAUCAGUCACACUGGAACUGAGACACGGUCCAGACUCCUACGGGAGGCAGCAGUGGGGAAUAUUGGACAAUGGGCGAAAGCCUGAUCCAGCCAUGCCGCGUGUGUGAAGAAGGUCUUCGGAUUGUAAAGCACUUUAAGUUGGGAGGAAGGGCAGUAAGCUAAUACCUUGCUGUUUUGACGUUACCGACAGAAUAAGCACCGGCUAACUCUGUGCCAGCAGCCGCGGUAAUACAGAGGGUGCAAGCGUUAAUCGGAAUUACUGGGCGUAAAGCGCGCGUAGGUGGUUUGUUAAGUUGGAUGUGAAAGCCCCGGGCUCAACCUGGGAACUGCAUCCAAAACU